rnacentral:piRNA from 1 species
UCCCACGGUGGUGCACACUGCACAAGAC